CCUGUCCUGAGAGGCAUGCAGGCGUGGCCGCUGUGUCACAUGUGUGUCAGUAGGUGGCAGAGAAGAGAGAGGCUAUGUCCAAGCUCAGGGUUCGGAACGGUGAACAUUUGAAUGAUUAGUAGGCUAACGCU